AUUGUAGGCCAUAUCAUCUUGGGCUGAGAUCUUGUUGACUCAAGUAAGUAAAGCAGGAUUGGGCCUGUUCAACUUGAGUGGGAGACCACUGAGAAAAUUGCUAUGCUUUUUAUA
rnacentral:rRNA from 1 species